AAUCUGGAAUGUAACAUCAAAUAUCUAGAGAGGAAAAUUUGGAUUUCUUGCAUUCUGGUUCGAGUCGUAACAUAAAUAAUAUCCGAACGUCGUAAUUACACUUUAAUUUCUACGCAAAUACCAGCGCUGAAAUUUCACAUCUGGCUCCUAACACUUAAUCUACAAUUGUUGGUUCCAAAUUAGAAUUUAAAUUUCACCUCAGGUACUCUCGAUUACGUUGAUUCGAAUCAAGGAGAAUCAUACAAUCCGUCGCAUUGUCGAAAAUUCCUCGAGCAAUCAGAGCGCGAAGAAGAGAAGAGAAUUCGUUAGGGGAGAGUCGCAACAUCGUUGGACCAUCGCCCGAGCAAAAAUUCACGUUUCAGUCGGCUGAAUCUGCGGAGACAAAACCACUCACGUCCACCGUCCGACGCCAAGACAGGGUCGAUAAUUUCCGAAUAAAAAGGCGAGUUUUCACGCUCGAACGCGCUUCAAGUCCACCGCAUGGAACCAUCCCCUGGGUUAAGCUGCGUCGGCCAAAUAUAUCGAGGGUGGUAGAGGGAUAGAAGAGGGAAACCGGUCGGUCGGUCCGGUCGGUCGGUCGGUUGAUGGGUAUGGGAGCCUGUUAGCUUGUAACUGGUCUAUUACUGGCUUUAUUGAGAUUGGGAAUCAGCAGCCAGAUGGAAUCGGUAUCGGACGAAAACACACCAGCUAUUGGUCGCCACGAUUUCCAUGCCCGUUAAAACGGCCUCAAACGAAUCGUUAUUAUUCUGUCACGACGGCAAUGUGUACCUAUUAAGCUGGCUCCAAACUAGAAAAAAAUUACACAUACUGACGUUCUACGUAGAAUCCGAUGCAAAGGAUUUCUUCGCAGAUUCACCCGUUUUCCUAUACUGUUGGACGAAACUACAAAACACCUUGUAAAUUAUCUUUAAUUACCUCAUUAAAUGACCUUUUUUUGAAUAGUUUUUUGUUAUAUGUAUGGAUAUAAAAAAACUACUCUCAAAAUUUCAAAUAGA